UAUAUAAGUUCUCUAAGAUUGCCAGUCUAACAAUAUUCUCCUCUAAGUGGCAGUUUUAGGCUUUCCAUUAUGUCUAGUAACAAUUAUCCAGGAUGGAACAAUGGUGGUCAUCAUUCCCCAGGAUGGAACAAUGGAUGGAACAAUGGUGGUCAUAACCCAGGAUGGAACAAUGGUGGUCAUUACCCAGGACCACAUUAUCCUGGACAUCCACAGCCAUAUCCAAAUCCACAUCACUAUCCACCUCAUCACUAUAAUCCCUCCGGAGGACAUGGGUAUCCUCCUUUUUAUUACAAUCAUGGAGGCCAUUAGCAGCCUGAGGUGGAAAGUGGAUUUACAAGAAAUAAGAAAAUUUACAGAAAGGCUGUUUGCAAUUGAUUUUACGCAAAAUGUUAAAUACAUUAAUCUUAUGUCCGCUUCCUAGGUGCUUUUUUAGGCAUAGAAAAUAAAAGCUCUUUAGACCAAA